GCAAAAAGCAAAACAUGGAGGAAAGUGCUGAGAAAAUGCUUUAUUUUACACGUUUAAAAUCCAGAAGGAGGCUAAAAAAACACUCAAAGAAAGUAUUCAAAUGCUUAAUGGACAUUAUGAAACCAUAAAAAGAUCUGAAAGAUGAACACUGUGUGCCAAAUAUGCAGUUGUACAAAGAAUACAGCACAACCUUCCAGAUGCACUACUACUAAGCUUAUAUGCACGGUAAAACUUGAUGUUAUGAUGGCUGACCAUAGCAUGAAGCAAUCCUAAAUCUAUGAUGUACUAGCUGCUUUGCUAUCAUCAAACUCACUACAAAGAAAGUCAUGUAUUAUGACUGUAGAAAUGCCUGUCAGCCACUGGAACUGUCUGAAUUUUAUUCAGAUACAAAUAAUCCACCAAGUAACAGUUACAGUAAAUCCUUGAAGAUGUUCCCAAAGCUGCUGAAUUUGAAUGGGAGAGAAUGAAAAGGAGAGUUUUAAAAAAAUGAGAUUGAAAGA